rnacentral:rRNA from 1 species
GAUCCUGGCUCAGGACGAACGCUGGCGGCGUGCCUAACACAUGCAAGUCGAACGGAGAUAAGCGCUGAUGAUUUAGCUUGCUAUUGAUUCUUGUUUAUCUUAGUGGCGGACGGGUGAGUAACGCGUGAGCAACCUGCCUUUCAGAGGGGGAUAACGUCUUGAAAAGGACGCUAAUACCGCAUGAGAUCGUAGUCCCACAUGGGACAGCGACCAAAGGAGCAAUCCGCUGAAAGA